GUGGGGAAUUUUGGGCAAUGGGCGCAAGCCUGACCCAGCGACGCCGCGUGGAGGAUGAAGGCCUUCGGGUUGUAAACUCCUGUCAGGUGGGAAGAAAGCUUCCAUGGCGAACAACCAUGGAGGUCUGACGGUACCGCCAAAGGAAGCCCCGGCUAACUCCGUGCCAGCAGCCGCGGUAAUACGGAGGGGGCAAGCGUUAUUCGGAAUUACUGGGCGUAAAGCGCACGUAGGCGGCCAUGCAAGUCGAAGGUGAAAGCCCUCGGCUCAACCGAGGAACUGCCUUUGAAACUGCGUGGCUUGAGUCCGGGAGGGGGGAGCGGAAUUCCCAGUGUAGCGGUGAAAUGCGUAGAUACUGGGAGGAACACCGGUGGCGAAGGCGGCUCCCUGGACCGGAACUGACGCUGAGGUGCGAAAGCGUGGGUAGCAAACAGGAUUAGAUACCCUGGUAGUCC
rnacentral:rRNA from 1 species